rnacentral:rRNA from 1 species
UGGGGAAUAUUGCACAAUGGGCGCAAGCCUGAUGCAGCCAUGCCGCGUGUGUGAAGAAGGCCUUCGGGUUGUAAAGCACUUUCAGCGGGGAGGAAGGCGAUAAGGUUAAUAACCUUGUCGAUUGACGUUACCCGCAGAAGAAGCACCGGCUAACUCCGUGCCAGCAGCCGCGGUAAUACGGAGGGUGCAAGCGUUAAUCGGAAUUACUGGGCGUAAAGCGCACGCAGGCGGUCUGUCAAGUCGGAUGUGAAAUCCCCGGGCUCAACCUGGGAACUGCAUUCGAAACUGGCAGGCUAGAAUCUUGUAGAGGGGGGUAGAAUUCCAGGUGUAGCGGUGAAAUGCGUAGAGAUCUGGAGGAAUACCGGUGGCGAAGGCGGCCCCCUGGACAAAGACUGACGCUCAGGUGCGAAAGCGUGGGGAGCAAACAGG